rnacentral:rRNA from 1 species
AUUGAACGCUGGCGGCAGGCCUAACACAUGCAAGUCGAGCGAGCUGCGGACGGGUGAGUAAUGUAUGGGGACUGCCCGAUAGAGGGGGAUAACUACUGGAAACGGUGGCUAAUACCGCAUACUAUCGGAUAACCCAUAUGGGAUUAGCUAGUAGGUGGGGUAAAGGCUCACGGAGGCGACGAUCUCUAGCUGGUCUGAGAGGAUGAUCAGUCACAUUGGGAUUGAGACACGGCCCAGACUCCUACGGAGGAAGCAGGGGGGAAUAUGGCACAAUGGGCGCAAGCCUGAGGCAGCCAUGCGGCGUGUAUGAAGAAGGCCGUAGGGUUGUAAAGUACUGUCAGCGGGGAGGCGUUACACGCAGAAGAAGCACCGGAUAACUCCGUGCCAGCAGCCGCGGUAAUAC